rnacentral:lncRNA from 1 species
AUUAAUAUAAAAAUAAUUGGAAUAAGAUAGCAAAAUUAUGGACAAAAGUUUCCUUUUUCAUACCUUCUUUUACUGGUUUCUACUCCACUGUAGGACAAUAGAUGUUGCAUUCAUAUCAGCAUCUGUGAAAUUCUUUCUCAGCAGAAAGCAAUGAGAGAAACUCACAUGUGCAGGCUGUAUCUGGUGUGAGAUGGAGAUGACUCAUUUUCCUUUAAACUAGAAGUCACUUCUCAGGUGCAAAAGCUUUUUCUGCAAAUAGAAAAAAAAAAAAAUAAAAAUUAUGAGGAAGACCUGCAGCAAUAGAGCACCUUCUUUUCAGUUCUAAUUACUGAUUCAGCAACCAGCAAGGAAAUAUGCUUAGUGGAUGGAUUUGAUUAUGUAUUCCUUAAGGUUAACCACAGACAACAUCUUUACCUACCUGCAUGAUCUACAAGCAAACUUCACAAAACCUAUCCAGCCGAAAAAAUUUAAGUAUCCAGAAUUAAUGAUACCAAGGGAAAUUAAUAUACAUUUCAUCUAA